rnacentral:rRNA from 1 species
UCCGCCAGAGAACUACGAGUGAAAAACUUAAAACUCAAAGGACUUGACGGUGUCCCAUAUCGGCCUAGAGGAGCCUGUCCUAUAAUCGAUACCCCCCGUUCCACCCAACCCCAACUAGCAAAACAUCAGCCUAUAUACCGCCGUCGACAGUUUACCCUAUGAAGGUCCAAUAGUAGACACAACAGCCCUAACGCUAAUACGUCAGGUCAAGGUGUAGCAAAUGCUGGGGAAGAGAUUGGCUACAUUUUUUAUGAUAAAAAACACGAAUUGCACCAUGAAAAAGUGCAUGAAGGUGAAUUUAGUAGUAAAACAGAUAAGAGUGUCUGUUUUAACAACGCUCUGGGACGCGUACACACCGCCC